GGGCCCGUGGCCUAGCCAGGAUAUGGCGCCGGCCUUCUAAGCCGGAUGUCGAGGGUUCGAAUCCCUCCGGGUCCG
rnacentral:tRNA from 2 species